rnacentral:lncRNA from 1 species
CUUCUACACUGAGGGAUGACAGCGUCCCGGUGAGCAGCCACGAAAAAUCCACUGGACGUUCCAUCAAUAUUUAUCUUAUUGACUUGUGUCUUUUCUUAGUAACUAUCAGUGGAUUCCGGAAUGCAUUCCCCUCUUCAGAACCCUAUCUCAGGACCCCUUUGAAAGCAGGGAACUUGCCAUCCUACUGUCCUGAUUUCUUUCCUCCAGCCCCCA